GUUUAUAAAGUGUAAUUUUAUUUUAUGUUACUCUGCUGUUACAUAGGGCAUAACAUUUUCACAAGGCUUUUUUGGGACUACAGUCAAUGAUUAGCAACACACAAUAGUGUUCCAACUCUAACAAUCACUAGACAAACAGGACACCCUCUCACGUGCACAGAUCUGCAUAGAAAAGUACAAAAGUUUUAAAUUUAGACUUGUGUACUUUAAUUUGUUUCCCCUUUCUAGUGUAUUAAAAAAUGACAUGCACUUUAAUUUGCCAAAAGCAAUGUUGUAUUCUGGCAGCAACAUGCUACUUCUAUUACAUAGUAAAGUGAAUACCAGAACUACAAAGACAGGAGGUAUAAGUGAAUUUUUAUUGGGAAGGGAGGUUGUCAACUUAAACAGCAGCAAAUAAAGAGUGAAUAAGGAAACUCCCUGUUGCCACAGAUAUACAUGACCUCCUUAUGUGAUAAAGGAGGCAUUUCAAUUUGUGAACCAUAGCCAGAGAUGGCAAGUGCGUUUUCAUUCAGUCUAAUACUUCUGGAUUCCUACUAAAAAGGAAUACAUUAAGAGCAUGGAAAAAUUGCUUAUUGAAAGGAAACCCUCGAAGAGUAAGGGAGGGAAUGUAGAAAUUAAGUUAUGUAGAACACUCUUUAAAUUGUAAUUAACUACAUUUUUAUAUCUUCACAGUAAUACAAAACACAGUCACUUGCAGAACUGUUUCAGAUUACUUAAAUACCAGAUACAUUUUUAGUCCUCUACAGCAGUAACUGCACACCAGGAAGGCCAAGACAAACACAAAUCAGGGAAUGAAGUUUUCCCAAAGCUGCAGUGUGAAAAGACUAAAAACAGUUGACUCCAAACACAUGAAUCGGUUUCUUUGCUAUAGGAAAUCCAAGUGGAAUAAGGAAUGGAGAUGUGUAAAAAGGUUUCUUGAAGGAAAGAAGGAGGACACCCUGUAUGUAUUUAGUUUUCAGCCCCUUCUACUGCCUCACAUUCUUCUCCUGCACUGUCUGAUGUCCAAAGUGUUAGGUUGUCUCUAAGCAAUUGCAUGAUGAGGGUUCUUGUCGGAGGUGUCAGUCUUCUGCUCAAUGUUCAAGAUGAGCCUCCAGGCGGACCUGCAGCCCCCGACCACAUUCUAAUAAGGAGCAGGUUGCGCUCCUUAUUAGACAGCUCGGCGACCUACUUGGUCACAGCCUUCAUGCAGGUGGCCAUGUCAUCGUAGUGCUCUGCCUGCUUGGCCAGCUUGGCCUUCAGGAUCAGCUCCCUCUUCUCCUUGACGGGUGCAGGGCAGAGGGCAAAGAGAGCAAGGGCAAGCGCCGACCCGGAGCAGGAGGAGUCCUUCAGAGCUUCACAUCUCCGUGGCCACAACUAGAGUCCCACCACUUUGAUCUGCCUUUUAGAUAAGUAUUUUUUAAGAAGCCACAUCUCCCUGAAUUCAUCUCGAUUUUAACACAAUCCCACUCCAAAUCCCAGCCAGUUUUUAAAAUAAAAAUGGACAAGUUGAUUCCAGAAUUUACAUGGAUGGAAAAAUAAAGGUCUUAACCAUAGCCAAAGCAAUGUUGAAAGGUAAAACAAAGUUGAGAGCUAAUUUAAAGACUUACUGUAAAGCUGCAGUAAUCAAGAUUGUAGGUUUAGGAUAAGAGAGAAAGAGAUCAAUGGACAGAGCAGAAAGAAACACACACAUAAAUAUGGCCAAUUCCGUUUUAACAAAGCUGUCAAGGCAAUUCAGUAGGGAAAGAAAAGGCUUUUUAACAUAUGGUGCAGGAACGACCCUGAUAAACAUGGAGGGGAAAUGAACUUUACCCCACCUCACACAACACAAAAUUUAAUUUAAGAUGAUGGGGCCGGGCACAGUGGCUCACACCUGUACCCUAGCACUUUGAGAGGCUGCGGCAGACAGAUUGCCUGAUCUCAAGAGUUCAAGACCAGCCUGGGCAAUAUGGUGAAACCCCGUUUGUAUUAAAAAUACAAAAAUUAGCUGUGCAUGGUGGCCCACGGCUGUAAUCCCAGCUACUCAGGAAGCUGAGGUCCGAGAAUCACUUGAAUGCUUGAACUCGGGAGGCAGAAGUUGCUGUGAGCCGAGAUGGCAUCACUGCGCUCCAGCCUGGGCAACAGAGAGAGACUGUCUCCACUGUCUCCAAAAAAAAAGAAAAAAAAAAGAUGAUAGAAUCAUAGACCUCAAAGAAAAUGUGGAAAAAUAUCUUCGAAACCAUGAUAUGCUAGGAUUUCUUGAAGAGAACAUUAAAAGCACUGAACAUUUUUCUUAAAUGAAUUGGACUUCAUUGAAAAGAAAGAUGUAUUUUCUCCAUUAUUCAUUGUGAUUCCUUUUUCUUUUUUUAAUAUGAUGACCAUAAAAUGUAUUACUUGGUGGUUGAAAUUUUUCAAGAGCUUGUUGGGGUUUGUUGAAUUUUUUGAACCAUAAGAUAAUGUUUUUCACCAAAUUUGGGACUUUUUUGACUUAUUUCUUCAAAUUUCUCCCCUUUUUCUUCUAGGGAUCCUCCAAUUUAUGCUGAUAAAUUGUCUCAUGGAUCUCACUGAGACUCAGUUCAUUUUUCUUUUAUUCUCUUUGGUCUCCAAAUCAGAUCAUUUUUACUUAAGUUCACUGAUUUAGCUCAUGUGAAUUUUUCAUUCAUCUGUUGUACUUUUCAGCUCCAGAAUUUCCAUUUAGUUCUCUUUGUACUUUAGAUUUUUCUGUUGAGAGCCUAUAUAUGUUCAGUUGCUAUUAGUAUAUUUUUAUUGAAUUAUUUCAGCAUAUUUAGAGUAACUGCUUUGAAGUCUUAGGCUGCUAAAUUCAGUAUCUGGACCCAUUCAGAAUCAGUUUUAGUUGGCUGCCUUCUUUCCCAAGUUAUGUGUCACACUUUCCUGUUUUUUUAUAUGUCUUACUUUCUUAUUAAAAGCUAGACAUUUUUAAGAUCAGCAGUCCCCAACCUUUUUGUCACCAAGGACCAGUUUCAUGGAAGACAAUUUUUCCACGGACUGGUGGGGGGUCAUGUAUUUGGGAUGAAAUUGUUUUACCUCAGAUCAUCAGGCAUUAGAUUCUCAUAAGGAGUGCACAACCUAGAUCUGUUGCAUGCUCGUUUCACAAUAGGAUUUGCACUCUUGUGAUCUCAUGCCACCCUUAUCUGACAGGAGGCAGAACUCAGGUAGUAAUGCUUGCUUGCCCACCCACUGCUGCUCCUGCUGGGUGGCCCAGUUCCUAACAGGCCACUGACCAGUACCAGUCUAUGGUCCAGAUUUUGGGGACCCCUCUUUUAGAUAGUACACUGUAGUGUGUCUGCAUUUGGUUUGUUCUGAAUGCUUGCCUAGACUAAAACUGCAGUCUCUCUCUCUUACUUACAGUGUAUCUCUCUGUUCAGAUGUUUCCCUCUAACCCUAGCUAGCUCCCUAGGGGGCCUCACCUGAACUUGAUUAGUUUAGUGGUCAACAAAUGAAUUGAGCAGGCAGCUCAAAUACCUCAAAGGCUUCCACCCUCUGUCAUCUGAGCUGUGUGUGGAUUAGAGAAUACAUUCAGAGUCACAGCAAAUUGACGUCUCCCCAGGCUUUCAGUUUUUGCCAGACUCUGGGAUAUUCCACAUACAUGCCUACGUUAGCAGUCAGGCAGGGAUCUGGCAAGUUUAUUAUCAGGCUUUCAUAGCCCUCUUGCUUCCAGAUUUCAUCCUUAAAUGGAAUCUGUAACCUCCAGCCAGUAAAACUUGUAUUUUCAUUGCCUAACUUGGGGAUAAUGGAAACACCCCCAGGUAGGAAGACCAUAAAUCCACAGUUCUUACCCUAUGCGGUUUUUCAUGAGUAAACUUAUCACCGUUGGUUGUUUUCCCGUGCCCUGAAGUUGUUUUUAACAAUUUGCCCAGUUUUAUACACCCAUCUUUCUUAACACUAUUAUCAAAAAUACAGUCAUGGUAACAUUGUUUUAGCUGUGUCCCUUGGGGCCAAUAUGUAGUUGGACAUUCAUUUUUAUUGUGGUGGUAAUUGUAUUUUUUUAAAUUUAGGCCAGGCACAGUGGUUCAGGCCCGUAAUCCCACUACUUUAGGAGGCCAAGGCGGGUGGAUCACCUGAGGUCAGGAGUUCGAGACCAGCCUGGCCAACAUGGUGAAACUCCAUCUCUACUGAAAAUACAAAAAUUAGCCAAGUGUGGUAGUGGGCGCCUGUAAGCCCAGCUACUCAGGAGGCUGAGGCAGGAG
rnacentral:lncRNA from 1 species